rnacentral:rRNA from 1 species
CCUACGGGAGGCAGCAGUGAGGAAUAUUGGUCAAUGGACGAGAGUCUGAACCAGCCAAGUAGCGUGAAGGAUGACUGCCCUAUGGGUUGUAAACUUCUUUUAUAUGGGAAUAAAAUGAUCCACGUGUGGGAUUUUGUAUGUACCAUAUGAAUAAGGAUCGGAUAACUCCGUGCCAGCAGCCGCGGUAAUACGGAGGAUCCGAGCGUUAUACGGAUUUAUUGGGUUUAAAGGGAGCGUAGGUGGGUUGUUAAGUCAAUUGGGAAAGUUUGCGGCUCAACCGUAAAAUUGCAGUUGAAACUGGCAGUCUUGAGUACAGUAGAGGUGGGCGGAAUUCGUGGUGUAGCGGUGAAAUGCUUAGAUAUCACGAAGAACUCCGAUUGCGAAGGCAGUUCACUGGACUGCAACUGACACUGAGGCUCGAAAGUGUGGGUAUCAAACAGGAUUAGAUACCCGAGUAGUC